rnacentral:misc_RNA from 1 species
GUAGGUGAACCUGCGGAAGGAUCAUUAUCAAUAUCAGCGGGCUUCGGCCCCUGCUAUACCCUUGUCUUUUGCGUACCACUUGUUUCCUCGGCGGGCUUGCCUGCCGAUAGGACAAACACAAACCCUUUGUAGUUGCAAUCAGCGUCAGAAAAAAACAAUAAUUAAAACUUUCAACAACGGAUCUCUUGGUUCUG